rnacentral:rRNA from 1 species
UAUUUAUUUUAUUAUUAGUUAUAUUAGUCUUGAUUGUUUUAAAAUAAGAAUAUUAAUUUUUAUUAUUAAUAAGAAAAAAUUAAUUUUAUAAUAGUGGAUAUGUAUUGUGAAAGAAUUAAUUUAAAUUUGAAGAAGAAGAAAUGAAUUUUUGUACCUUGUGUAUCAGGGUUUAUUAAUUAUAAUUAAUAGAAUUUUAUUGUCCCGAAUUUAAAAGAGUUAGUAGUUUAUGUUUUUUAUUGUAAAAUAAAUAUUGAUAAUAAAUUACUAGUAAUGAAAUGUUAUGCGUUUUUAAAUAUAUCUGGUUUUUUUAGAAAAAAAUUUAAUUUUUUUUGAAAGUGUUAUAUAAAUAAUUGAUUAUUUAUAUAAAUUUUUAAAUUUAUAAUUUUGGGGAUAAGCUUGAAAUUAGAUUUUUAUAAGCAGAAAAAUAUUAUUUAAUUGUAGGAUUAGAAUUUUCUAUCAUUAAAAGGAUGUUAUUAUUUAUAAAUUAAUAAGUAUGAUUUUUUUUUGUUUUAAGUUUUUUAUUGAAAUGUUUACUUUAUUAAUAAAAGUGAGGAAGUAAUGAUAAAAUUAGUAUAUUAAAUUAUGUUGAGUAAAAAUGAUGUAAUAGAUUAAUUAAAGGAACUAGACAAAUAUAUUUUUCACCUGUUUAUUAAAAACAUGUCUUUUUGAUUAUAAUUUAAAGUCUAACCUGCCCACUGAGUAGUUAAAUGGCUGCGGUAAUUUGACCGUACAAAGGUAGCAUAAUCAUUAGUUUUUUAAUUGAAAGCUGGAAUGAAAGGUUGAAUGAGAAAAUGAUUGUCUCUAUUUAAAAUUUUAGAAUUUUAUUUUUAAAUAAAAAAGUUUAAAUAAUAAUAAAAGACGAGAAGACCCUAUAGAGUUUUAUAAAACUUUAAUAUUUAUAUUUUUAGGAUUAAUAGUCGGGUAUUUGAGUUUUAUUUAGUUGGGGCGAUUGAAAAAUUUAGAUAACUUUUUUUUGUUUGAAACAUUGAUUAGUGAGUGAUUGAUCCAAGAUUUUUGAUUAUAAGAAAUAAUUACCUUAGGGAUAACAGCGUAAUUUUUUUUUAGAGUUCUUAUUGAAAGAAAAGAUUGCGACCUCGAUGUUGGAUUAAAUUUAAUUUUAGGUGUAGGAGCUUAAAAAUUAGGUCUGUUCGACCUUUAAAAAUUUACAUGAUCUGAGUUUAAACCGGUGUGAGCCAGGUUGGUUUCUAUCUUUAUGUAAAUAAAAUAUUUUAGUACGAAAGGACCAAAUAUUUAGUUAAAAAUUUUUAUUUUGAAUAUUAAU